GGAGAAUUCAAGGACGAGAUUUAGAAGAAAACAACACUAGCUAAUAAUGAGUUCAAAUAAUUAAGGUAUAAUCUCAAACUUUACUUAUUUGUGACAAAUCAUUUAUGAUAAUAAAGUUUAUUUUGUGAUAGAAUUUAAUUAUUUGAUCCCCACAUUAUGGGUACAGUUUACACGGCAGAUUUUGAAUAGUUAUUUAAUUAGCAAAUAUGGUGUAGAUUUAAUCAGUAGUUGCUUUGGAGUUCGAUGAGUUUCACCCAAUUUGUAAAUUAAGGGUUUUGUAAAUUAGGGUUCUUAAUAGAAAUUGGGGAUUUUGUGGUUGUUGUUGGUUUGAAUAAAUGGAGUUGUGAGCUGUGAUUGAGGGGGGAAAGAGGGAGCUUCGGAGGAAGCAGCCCUGGCGUCGGAACACCGGAGCUGCCCCGACGACGUUGCCGGAAAACGCAGCGGCGGAGGUGGCCUGUGAAAUCGCGAGGGAAGAAGAGACAGUGGCGAGAGAGAGAGAGAGAGAGGGUGGCAGUGGAGCCGCCGGAGUCGAACUCCGGCCGGCGAUGGUGGUGUAUGGCAGGGGAGAGGGGAGGAGGAAGAUGAGGGAGCAAGAGGGGCAGUUUGGUAAUUUUCCUGUAAAUGGGUUCUGAUAAUUAGUCUGCUGGGUGAGAAAUUGUUGAUCAUUUUUACAACAAAUUACAUAUUUGAAUUCCUUGCGGAAAAAUAGAUGGAAUAGGCUCUUGAAUCGUUAAAAACGGAUUAAAAACUAAGGAGAUAUCAGUGGUCAAAGUUUCACCAUUAGAGUUGACUUCGAGGAGAGAGAAAGUAUUGGUGAGGUUGAGGAAGAUGAUGAUGUGGCAGCUUUUGAUUGGUUAAAAUAUUCAAGAUUAGUAUUUAAUUAAUUUGAGGGGUUAAAUGAUAGAAUAAGAAAAAGUAUAAAACAUGAAAGUUUAAGUAAAGGAUUUUUCGGAUUUAAUGGUGAAGUCUAAUUUUGGGUUCGAGAAAUAUUAAAUAAAAUUAUAUUUUGUGAUUUAAUAAAUAAUUAAUGAAAUUGAUGGAUAUAUUAGUUAAGUGGGCAAUUUAGUAGAAGUGAGACUUUGGGAAAUUGAUAUAAUGGAACAAAUUGGAGAUAUUUGUGUGAAUUAGUGUCGGCGAACAAAUAAAUUAUAAGUAGAGAUUUAUAAUAUUAGAUUUAAAGAGAGAUUGGAUUAACAAAUAAUUCAAGUGGACUUCUUAAAAAGAAGAUAAUUAUUUAAAUAAUAUCUAUUAUUCGAAGAUUUAAGGGAUAAUAGAAAAACAAUCUAAAUAUUAUCAAUAAGGAGAACUACAAAUUAUGAAUGUAUAGUGGAUUAUUCGAGAUUAUUUAAAGUGAAGAUUACUAAAUUCACUAUUUUGUGUGAUAUAGAAUAUUUACUAUCUGGAAAGGCGAGCUCAAUUUGAGACAAGAAUAUUUUGUGUUAUUAUCAAAAGACGCCAGACAAGUUCACUUAAUCCUUCCUUUGAUGUGCCCAUGAUGUGCAAAUAUUUGUUGAACGUGAUUUCAUUUGAUAUUUAUAUCUGUGUUUGAAUCCCGAUAUUUUGAGAUGUAUUUGAAUAUUCGAGAAGAUCGUGAAGAAAUGGACACUAUAAUAUUUGAUAUUUGUUCAGAUUAUUGUGAAAACAACCUUUCUUCGUUGUCCGAGUCCAUCCAUUGUUCGGGUUGACUUAUUAUUUUGUGAAACCAGAAUUAUCAUAAAAUUUCAAAUCUUUAACCUAUCACUCCUUUUUGAGAUGAUUACCCUAUUUUGUAAUCUUUAUUUCGUUACAGAAAUUCAUAUUCGAUAUUUAAUUCUAACCUUACUCAUAUUCGAGAAGUCUUAUUCAUAUCUUUGAGUUAUUAUAUCAAUGCAAGAAUAACUCAGUUGAAUUUUCUUUAAACCUUGAUUAUUCGCUAAUACCGACAUUUUAAUUAUCGAGACCCCGAACUUUGAUUCGUCUUUCUUACGAAGUUUUAUGAUUCUGAUGUUUUCUUCAGAUAACUGAUUAUUCUUUCUAUAUACUUUAAAGGGGAUAAUUUGCUUGAUUAUUGAGUUCCCCUCCUAGUUUCUUAUUCUCGUUCAAUCUGUUAAACUUCUAUUCUUUUAUUCGAACUAUAAUUAAUCGAUUUUAUACAAGGAUCAUUAACCAUGUUCGGUUCUAUGUUAUUGUUCUUGGGAUGUUGUGAUCGGAUUACUGUUUCUUCGUAAUCCGGCCGAGAGCUAUUUAAUUCUGAAUUGUGAGGAUGCAUUGUUCGCAUUCUUGUGAGAAAGGGGAAGAUUUAUUCAACAUGAAGUGAGCCAAUUUGUACUCGGGGAAUGAAUUUCAUAAACUGGUCAACACGAAUGAUUUACAUUCGUGGAAGAGUGGAAAUAUCUGUUGGCCCUAUGUGUGGGACAACUUUAAGGGUUGAAAGUGAUAACCCUUAUGCUAGCAAAUAAAUGGGGGAAACUGUGUGGCGCCAUUCGGAAGUCGCGAUCAGACUACGAAGGUGACACGGGGUGGUAUCUACUUAGUGGCGGUGAUCGAGCCAUUUGGUGGAACCAUCAAGGAUGGAGACCAGUAUUAUUAUUAUUCUUUGAUUUCUUGAGUUCAUUGUGUGAUUAUAUGCAGCUCUCAUUUUGAAUCUGCUUAAUUGUUAUAUCUGCUUAAAUUCCUUUAUCUAAUCUGUGGUGUUUGCACUUGAACUGUGAACUUGCUGAGCAUUAAAUUGCUCAUACUUGCAACUCUUUAUUUCUUUGAACAGUAAAGACAGAAAAUGGCACAAAUGAGAAGGGUAAUUCGGAAGCAUAUAAUAGCAAAAUCAAUGGCAAAGCGUGAGGCUGUGGCACGAAGGGUGCGAAGACUUGUUCCAGUAACGAGAAUGUUUAAUGAUUAUAAUAAUGGUAGAUUGUACUCUUGAACUUAUCAUUGUAAUGUUAGAAUAGACUGCGUGGAAGUGUAAGAUCGACCCUGGACUUGUGGGGCGAGCUAUGUAACGUAAGACAGGUAUGCUAUUACAGUGUGACGGCCUAGAUCCGGGAUAUACGGAUCUGGG
rnacentral:lncRNA from 1 species